ensembl:snRNA U6 U6 spliceosomal RNA
AUGCUAGCUUGGGCAGCACAUAUUCUAGCAUCAGAAGGAUACAGAAAACAAUAACAUGGCCCCUGCACAAGGAUGACAUGCUAAUUUGUAAAGAGUGUUGUUGUUGU